CAUAUUCAGCGGCAAUGGGACACAAGAAGGUACAAGCGAUCGCAGCCAAUUGCGAGGCCGUCAUCAAGUGGACAGCGUUGAAUUUAUCGGUCAAAAUCCCUGAGAUAAUGGUGAAUUCAAUGGUGAAAGGGUCAAUAUAAGAUGGAACAAGGGUGACAAUUCGUGAGGAAUUGGUCCUAAUUCUGACUGGUCAUCUGGAGGAAAAAAAUCAGCCUCAACCGCAAUCGUCGUGAACCAUUUGAGUAAUGCAACGGCAAUUAAGACCAUACAACCAAAACUGGCAACAUUUUUAUGCCUAUUGACGAUUAUGUUGGAAUGAUUUAUAUCUAAUUGCAGAUAGACUUAAUCACUCUUUGGAUAAUCCAUCGGAUGUGACACAUAAAGAAUGGACUUAUUAUACUUACCUCAAGGCUCCACAUUCAUAUUGUUUUUACCUUAAAGUUGGUUUGACAAUUUUUUGUGCCAUUCAUUUGAUUUCAACCACAACUUUGUUAACUCAAGAGGUUUACUAUUGCUCUCAUGGAUCUAAUGUGGAGAAAGGAAGAAAACAAAUGACAAUAAAUAAGAGCCAAAAUAUACCAACAGUAGACGAAGAAACUCUAAUAAGGAGAAAGGAAGAAAACAAAUGACAAUUAGGAAACAAUUUAAAUUGUUGUAACAACUUACAUGAAAACGUUAUGGUAAAUGUCAUUUUGAGCAGUCCAUGAUUGUAAUUUAAUCCCAAAACUGACCAAGAUGACCAUACAAACCAAAACAACGUAUUUACCUUGAGUACAUGGUUGAACCUCAUCUUCAUUUGGGUAACUAGGCAUUGGAAUCACUUUAACCAGUUAAUAGAAACACUAAUCAUUGGGUCAAUAUUGACAAAUCAAACUAAUUAAUUAUCCUUCUAAGUGAAAGGAUAAUUUUACCUUUUUCAAAAAUAUUGAAGGUGAACACUGUUAAGUUGUCCAAUUCAAUAGAUUCAAUUGUUCUCUUUGGACACAAAUCAAUUCAAUCACAAUCAAAGAAAAACAGAUUAAGAUCAAUUUCUUAAAUGAAGGACAACCUUUAACUCCAUUAAUUAAACGAAAAGAUCGAUCAUCGAUUCCAAACGAAAUUCCAUAAAAUGAUUACAUAAAGUUCCAACCAAGAGCAAUCUCUUAAUAAACAAUUGAAAAUCUCUUUUAAAACACAAUUAAUUUCCUUAAACAAUUAAAUUAAAAUGACAAUAAAUUUAA